UUUCGUGGCAGAGGAGCUGGUAUUUAUAGUAGUAGUAGUGGUGACCUAAUGGGCUUAAAAUGAGGUCCAAAACUUCAAAUUCUCGCAAGCUUCGCUAGGCGAAGGAAUUGCUCGCCUAGCGAGCAAGCUAGGUCUGGGCUUUCCUCUGGAUCCAAUGCUUCGUUGGGCGAGCGGCAUGAUGAAAUGUUCGCUAGGCGAAGGAGCUGCUCGCCUAGCGAGCAAGCUGUUUUGGGCCGCCUUUGGACUGGGCCUGUUGUGGGCUGGGCUUUUGUCCAUUUGAUAUCAGUGCCUUGCAGAACAAGU
rnacentral:lncRNA from 1 species